rnacentral:rRNA from 1 species
GAUGAACGCUGGCGGUGUGCCUAAUACAUGCAAGUCGAGCGAACAGACGAUGAGCUCGCUCCCUUGACGUUAGCGGCGGACGGGUGAGUAACACGUGGAUAACCUACCUAUAAUACUGGGGUAACUUCGGGAAACCGCAUACAAUACUGGAUAAUAUAUUGUACGGGAGGGAUCAAUAGUGAAUGACGGCUUGCCCGAUACUUUGAGACGGUGCCGGAUUAGCUAGUUGGGAGGGUAAGGGCAUACCAAGGCGACGAUACGUAGCCGAGCUGAGAGGAUGAUCAGCCACACUGGAACUGAGACACGGUCCAGACUCCUACGGGAGGCAGCAGUAGGGAAUAUUGGGCAAUGGGCGAAAGCCUGACGGAGCAACGCCGCGUGAGUGAUGAAGGUCUUCGGAUCGUAAAGCUCUGUUGUUAGGGAAGAACAGCAGUAGGAGAAACUAUGCCCGUUUUGACGGUACCUAAUCAAUAAGCAACGGCUAACUUCGUG